UAGGACGACCAUAGAGGUCUGGUUACACACGUUCCCAUCUCGAACACGUAAGUUAAGCAGGCUCUCGUUCCAGGUUGUACUGGUCUUCAGAUCGGGAAGCCUGGUUUGUUGUCCGCU
rnacentral:rRNA from 1 species